CCUACGGGUGGCAGCAGUGGGGGAUAUUGCACAAUGGGGGAAACCCUGAUGCAGCGACGCCGCGUGAGUGAAGAAGGAUUUCGGUAUGUAAAGCUCUAUCAGCAGGGAAGAAAAUGACAGUACCUGUACAAUAGGCCACGGCUAAAUACGUGACAACAGCCACGGUAAUACAUAGGGGGCAAGCGUUAUCCGGAUUUACUGGGUGAAGAGUGAGCGUAGACGGUUAUGUAAGUAUGGCGUGAAAGCCCGGGGCCCAACCCCGGGACUGCUUUGGAAACUGUGUAGCUGGAGUACAGGAGGGGCAGGCGGAAUUCCUGGUGUAGCGGUGAAAUGCGUAGAUAUCAGGAGGAAUACCGGCGGCGAAGGCGGCCUGCUGGACGGAAACUGACGUUGAGGUUCGAAAGCGUGGGGAGCAAACAGGAUUAGAUACCCCAGUAGUC
rnacentral:rRNA from 1 species